CUGGGGGCGGACUACACAUGCAAGUCGAGCGGAAACGAGUUAUCAGAACCUUCGGGGGACGAUAACGGCGUCGAGCGGCGGACGGGUGAGUAAUGCCUAGGAAAUUGCCCUGAUGUGGGGGAUAACCAUUGGAAACGAUGGCUAAUACCGCAUGAUGCCUACGGGCCAAAGAGGGGGACCUUCGGGCCUCUCGCGUCAGGAUAUGCCUAGGUGGGAUUAGCUAGUUGGUGAGGUAAGGGCUCACCAAGGCGACGAUCCCUAGCUGGUCUGAGAGGAUGAUCAGCCACACUGGAACUGAGACACGGUCCAGACUCCUACGGGAGGCAGCAGUGGGGAAUAUUGCACAAUGGGCGCAAGCCUGAUGCAGCCAUGCCGCGUGUGUGAAGAAGGCCUUCGGGUUGUAAAGCACUUUCAGUCGUGAGGAAGGUAGUGUAGUUAAUAGCUGCAUUAUUUGACGUUAGCGACAGAAGAAGCACCGGCUAACUCCGUGCCAGCAGCCGCGGUAAUACGGAGGGUGCGAGCGUUAAUCGGAAUUACUGGGCGUAAAGCGCAUGCAGGUGGUUUGUUAAGUCAGAUGUGAAAGCCCGGGGCUCAACCUCGGAAUUGCAUUUGAAACUGGCAGACUAGAGUACUGUAGAGGGGGGUAGAAUUUCAGGUGUAGCGGUGAAAUGCGUAGAGAUCUGAAGGAAUACCGGUGGCGAAGGCGGCCCCCUGGACAGAUACUGACACUCAGAUGCGAAAGCGUGGGGAGCAAACAGGAUUAGAUACCCUGGUAGUCCACGCCGUAAACGAUGUCUACUUGGAGGUUGUGGCCUUGAGCCGUGGCUUUCGGAGCUAACGCGUUAAGUAGACCGCCUGGGGAGUACGGUCGCAAGAUUAAAACUCAAAUGAAUUGACGGGGGCCCGCACAAGCGGUGGAGCAUGUGGUUUAAUUCGAUGCAACGCGAAGAACCUUACCUACUCUUGACAUCCAGAGAACUUUCCAGAGAUGGAUUGGUGCCUUCGGGAACUCUGAGACAGGUGCUGCAUGGCUGUCGUCAGCUCGUGUUGUGAAUUGUUGGGGUUAGUUCCCGCAACGAGCGCACCCUUAUUCCUUGUUUGCCAGCGGAGUAAUGUCGGGA
rnacentral:rRNA from 1 species